rnacentral:rRNA from 1 species
GCGUGUGUGAAGAAGGCCUGCGGGUUGUAAAGCACUUUCAGUAGAGAAGAAAAGCCUGAGGUUAAUACCCUCGAGUCUUGACGUAACCUACAGAAGAAGCACCGGCUAACUCCGUGCCAGCAGCCGCGGUAAUACGGAGGGUGCGAGCGUUAAUCGGAAUUACUGGGCGUAAAGCGCGCGUAGGCUGUUUUGUCAGUCGGAUGUGAAAUCCCCGGGCUUAACCUGGGAACUGCAUUCGAUACUGCAUAACUAGAGUAUGGUAGAGGGAAGUGGAAUUUCCGGUGUAGCGGUGAAAUGCGU